GCGGGUGUAGCUCAGUGGUAGAGCACCGUCCUUCCAAGUCGGUGGCCGCGCGUUCGAUCCGCGUCACCCGCU
rnacentral:tRNA from 1 species